AACGAACGCUGGCGGCAUGCCUAACACAUGCAAGUCGAACGAGACCUUCGGGUCUAGUGGCGCACGGGUGCGUAACGCGUGGGAACCUGCCCUUAGGUUCGGAAUAACUCCCCGAAUGGGGUGCUAAUACCGGAUAAUGUCUUCGGACCAAAGAUUUAUCGCCUUUGGAUGGGCCCGCGUUGGAUUAGCUAGUUGGUAGGGUAAAAGCCUACCAAGGCGACGAUCCAUAGCUGGUCUGAGAGGAUGAUCAGCCACACUGGGACUGAGACACGGCCCAGACUCCUACGGGAGGAAGCAGUGGGGAAUAUUGGACAAUGGGCGAAAGCAUGAACCAGCAAUGACGGGUGAGUGAUGAAGGCCUUAGGGUUGGAAAGCUAGUUUAACCGGGAUGAUAAUGACAGUACCGGGAGAAUAAGCUCCGGCUAACUCCGUG
rnacentral:rRNA from 1 species